AUAAUUCCUGGCAGGGAAGAUACCAUAAUCACAAAGGUGGUAUUCCCCAGGGCAAAGCUUAUCUAUUGCACUCUGGACGUGUUGACGCCUGCGAUAGCCCCAGAUGCAAGAAACUCUACUCCAUAAUUUGUGGUAGUGGGGGACUGCCUUUGCUUUCUACCA
rnacentral:snRNA from 1 species